UGAGCGACCUACCUAAUUGUGGGGGGAUAGCCGGCCCAACGGCCGGGUAAUACCGCAUACGAUCGGAGAGGGGCAUCCCUUUCUGAGGAAAGCCUUCGGGCGCAAUUUGAGGGGCUCGCGGCCUAUCAGCUAGUUGGCGGGGUAACGGUCCACCAAGGCGACGACGGGUAGCUGGUCUGAGAGGAUGGCCAGCCACAUUGGGACUGAGAUACGGCCCAGACUCCUACGGGAGGCAG
rnacentral:rRNA from 1 species